rnacentral:tRNA from 1 species
GCGCCUGUAGCUCAGUCAGGAUAGAGCAACGGAUUCCUAAUCCGUGGGUCAGGUGUUCGAAUCACCUCAGGCGCA